GACGAACGCUGGCGGUGUGCUUAACACAUGCAAGUCGAACGGUAAGGCCCUUUCGGGGGUACACGAGUGGCGCACGGGUGAGUAACACGUGAGUAACCUGCCCUCAUCUCUGGGAUAACAGUCGGAAACGGUUGCUAAUACUGGAUAUGAGCCUGCAAGGCAUCUUGUGGGUUGGAAAGAUUUUUUGGUUGGGGAUGGACUCGCGGCCUAUCAGCUUGUUGGUGAGGUAGUGGCUCACCAAGGCUUCGACGGGUAGCCGGCCUGAGAGGGCGACCGGCCACAUUGGGACUAAGAUACGGCCCAAACUCCUACGGGAGGCAGCAGUGGGGAAUAUUGCACAAUGGACGGAAGUCUGAUGCAGCAACGCCGCGUGCGGGAUGACGGCCUUCGGGUUGUAAACCGCUUUCAAUUGUGACGAAGCUUUUUGUGACGGUAGCAGUAGAAGAAGCACCGGCUAACUACGUG
rnacentral:rRNA from 1 species